CUACGGGGCGCUGCAGUGGGGAAUAUUGCGCAAUGGGCGAAAGCCUGACGCAGCAACGCCGUGUGAGGGAUGAAGGCUUUCGGGUCGUAAACCUCUGUCAGAAGGGAAGAACGGGUAUUGGUCUAAUAGGCCUUUAUUUUGACGGUACCUUCAGAGGAAGCACCGGCUAACUCCGUGCCAGCAGCCGCGGUAAUACGGAGGGUGCAAGCGUUAUUCGGAAUCACUGGGCGUAAAGCGCACGUAGGCCGCUUUGUAAGUCAGGGGUGAAAUCCCACGGCUCAACCGUGGAACUGCCUUUGAAACUGCAGAGCUCGAAUCCUGGAGAGGGUGGCGGAAUUCCUGGUGUAGGAGUGAAAUCCGUAGAUAUCAGGAGGAACACCGGUGGCGAAGGCGGCCACCUGGACAGGUAUUGACGCUGAGGUGCGAAAGUGUGGGGAGCAAACAGGAUUAGAUACCCGCGUAGUC
rnacentral:rRNA from 1 species